UGUCUUAUUUAUUAUUCUGCAAUUUAUUUAUUUAUUUCCUGUGUUCUGCGACUGUCUUGCUGCAACGUAUGCUAUAGCAUCUUGUGCAGCAUUGUGUUCACUGCAUGCCAGAUUACAUUAAGUAAUGGAGUCGAAGAUUAGAAAGAUAUAUGGGAGCAAUAAAGAAAAAUUGAAAGAAUGAAUAUAAAAGAUACCGCUUGUGAUUAGAUGAAGAUGAUGCAUCUGAAGCAAACAUUGAAAGUGAUUGAAGAUUAUAUGAAGAUAAUAAAACAUGCAAAUAGUAAAUCAACAAAGAAAAAAUUAGUUUGAUCAAGAAGAAAAUACCUGUGUUGCUAUGUUGUUGUUCGUAACAAAAAAACAUAACUUUCCUGCAAAAUGACAUGAAUAUAAAAUUGAGAUUAGAAAAUAAAGAAGAUAAUAAACUUUAGAUAGAAAAAAGUGAGAGAAAGAAGAGAGAAAUGAGAGAUUGGUUGAAAAAUAGUACUCCCUCCGGUCCUUAUUAUAAGAAACACUUUGACAAAAUCACACAGACCAAGGAAGGUAAAUUUUCUCAUUAAUGAUUCUAACAUUUUAUGUUAUAUUCCAAAACUAACCUUUGACUAGCAUGGGAAAUAGACUUCUCUAAUUAAUGCACUAGCAUUAUAAUGAAUUAUUUGAUUGUAUUUAAUAAGGGUACAAAUGGAAUUGUGUCAAACUGUUUCUUAUAAAAAGGACCAAAUAAAAAUUUCAAAGUGUUUCUUAUAAAAAGGACCGGAGGG
rnacentral:lncRNA from 1 species